GACGAACGCUGGCGGCGUGCUUAACACAUGCAAGUCGAACGAAGAGCGAUGGAAGCUUGCUUCUAUCAAUCUUAGUGGCGAACGGGUGAGUAACGCGUAAUCAACCUGCCCUUUAGAGGGGGACAACAGUUGGAAACGACUGCUAAUACCGCAUACGAUCUAAUCUCGGCAUCGAGGGUAGAUGAAAGGUGGCCUCUACAGGUAAGCUAUCACUGAAGGUGGGGAUUGGGUCUGUUUAGCUAGUUGGCGGGGUAACGGCCCACCAAGGCGAGGUUCAGUAGCCGGUCUGAGAGGAUGGACGGCCACAUUGGGACUGAGACACGGCUCAGACUGCUACGGGAGGCAGCAGUGGGGAAUCUUCCGCAAUGGACGAAAGUCUGACGGAGCAACGCCGCGUGAGUGAUGACGGCCUUCGGGUUGUAAAGCUCUGUUAAUCGGGACGAAAGGGCUUCUUGCGAAUAGUGAGAAGGAUUGACGGUACCGGAAUAGAAAGCCACGGCUAACUACGUG
rnacentral:rRNA from 1 species